UAAAUAAAGGAUGUAGGAUCUUAAUUUGAGCCAUCUUGCUACAGCAGGAAAAAUAAUCCUGCAGCAACAGGAAAAGUUCAUUAUUAUGUGGACUUUAAUUAAUGGACAUUUUUUGUAGGGGUUUAUACUUUUUUCGUUAGGGGAAAUCAAGUCUGACAUUUUAAAGUGGAAAUUACUAACUUUAGAAGCCUUUUUAAAACUUGAAUACACUACAAGUUUGCAAAAUUCGGAGCAGAAAAUUUCGUUCAAAUGAAGAUCCUACAUCUGUACUGUAAAUGCAUUAUACAUCUCAAUCAAUCAUUUUGACAUAAUAUUCAUUAGAAUCAAUACGGUAAAUAAUGACCCAAAUUGUAAGUCAAGCAAUGGACGUAUUCAAAGUCACCUACUGUAAAUACAUUCAUACUUUUGUAGCGAUGCAAUAAGGCAAUACCGAACAAUCACUGAGCAGCAGUGUCAGAAAUGACCCUGAUAACGCAGUGUGUGUGUGUGUGUGUGUGUGUGUGUGUGUGUGUGUGUUACUAUGUAUUUCAACACACACAGGCGGGGUCUUUCAUAUCACCACACACACUCACACGCACACACACAAUGGCGAUUGGUGUUCCCGCCUCACAGUGGAAAUGAAGCUGGGAAUUCCAGAGAUUCCUGAAGAGUAAAAGGUGUGAACCCCAACAGCCCAGCACCCUGGGAAUACUGCCGGCCGGCCCCAAAGACACAGCACUUUAACGGGUGACUGACCUCGUUAAAAGGUAGAGAUAGAGAGGGAGAGAGAACCUGCCCAGUGAACCACUGCUCUAAGAAUAUUUCAAUUCCUAUUGCAAUUUAAGAGGGCUGAAGCUAAAUGAUUAACAAGUAGUGUAAUGCGUUUUAAAAAUAUACACUCUAAAACCAUGAAACAUGUGACACAUUUAUAACCUAAACGUCAGUAUUUAAAACUUAAACAUUAGGCAUUUAGAUUAGCCAAUAAGUGUUCUCAUCUUAAACACAGUUGUUUAGAAUGCAAGGUUAAACAUGAUAGGCAGCUUUUUCCACUCAGUUUCCAACAUGGAGAACACAAUGUAUCUCAGAUUUGUGUUCAGAUUUUAAACACUAGUGUUUACUUUCCUAUCGUCACUCAGAGAGAAAAAGAUGUGGGAGGGGCCUCAUUAUCAUAUUUCCCAGUAUGCUUUGUAGCAGGUUGAUUUUUAGAAUACUGAGAUGGCUGUUCCAGUUUAAAAGGUUUAGGUAGUCUUGUUUAUUACAUCUUUACCAUAGCAGUCAUUCUGAGUGCAGGCUAUGGGUGAUGACGCAGUCCAAUUUAUGGUGUAUCCUACAUUUGGCUGGAUUCUGAUAGGAAUUACUAGUUAGUCCACAAACCAGAUCAUUGUGACUUGCAGGUCUGACAUAGCUCAUGACCCAGGAUUUUCAGACAACUACAUUGAGGACGAUAAACCCAUAACUUCAUUCAGUACACAUCCCCCUUAGACUUUCACUUAGUGACAACCUCAAUAAUUAUUUUAGAAUGAAACAAACAUGUCUCUGUCACUAACAUACACAAUCAUGGGUGGGUGUCUCUCAUUUUCACUUGAAAGGCAUGUUGGGAAAUAUGCAAAUACAGCUUUACACCGUACAGUAGCGUUAAAACCGAAAUGCCUUGUGCUGAAUAAACGUGUUCAUGAGUUUAAAAAGUGUUACAGUGAAUAAACAUGUUCUGGUGUUUACUAAACACUGUGACGCGUUUUCAUUUCAAUUCUAAAUGCCUUGA
rnacentral:lncRNA from 1 species